CACGUAGGGCGCGAGCGUUGUCCGGAAUUAUUGGGCGUAAAGAGCGCGUAGGCGGCCUGUUGCGUCCGCUGUGAAAGCCCGGGGCUUAACCCCGGGUCGGCAGUGGAUACGGGCAGGCUAGAGGUAGGUAGGGGAGAAUGGAAUUCCCGGUGUAGCGGUGAAAUGCGCAGAUAUCGGGAGGAACACCGGUGGCGAAGGCGGUUCUCUGGGCCUUACCUGACGCUGAGGAGCGAAAGCGUGGGGAGCGAACAGG
rnacentral:rRNA from 1 species